GACGAACGCUGGCGGCGUGCUUAACACAUGCAAGUCGUACGGUAAGGCCCUUUCGGGGGUACACGAGUGGCGAACGGGUGAGUAACACGUGAGUAACCUGCCCACAACUUUUGGAUAACGCUAGGAAACUGGUGCUAAUACUGAAUAUGUGCUCCUGCUGCAUGGGGGGGGUUGGAAAGCUCCGGCGGUUGUGGAUGGACUCGCGGCCUAUCAGCUUGUUGGUGGGGUGGUGGCGUACCAAGGCGGCGACGGGUAGCCGGCCUGAGGGGGUGAGCGGCCACACUGGGACUGAGGGAAGGCCCAGGCUCCGACGAGAGGCAGCAGGGGGGAAUAUUGAACAAGGGGCGCAAGGCUGGUGCAGCAGCGCCGCGGGUGGGAUAGCGGUCUUCGUGUGGAAGACCGGCUUCAGCAGGGACGAAGCUUUUUGUGACGGUACCUGCAGAAGAAGCACCGGCUAACUACGUG
rnacentral:rRNA from 1 species